CAGUCAUUUGGAAAAUACUAACAGUUCCUAUAGUAUUCGGUGAAGAUGUACAAAUUAAGUGUUUUGUAUCAACUGGUACAUGUCAUAUAAAUCAAACAAGACAAUGGACGGGUGGAAAAGGAUACAAAUUACUUGGUUUAAACGGGCAUUCAACAGAGGACUCUAAAUAUGAGAUGAAAAUACACACUUCAGACCUAAGCUUUGACCUCACUGUGAAAAAAUUUUCCGCAGAUGAUGCUUUUAGAGAAUACACAUGUUUAUGUGGAACAGAUCAAUUUAGAGGCAUGCUGAUGUUGAAUAAAACUGAAUAUAUACGUAAGUGUUGUAAAAUUAUAAAUGUGACGUUUCACGUUGUUGAACAACGUAAACAGACGUUGAUAUCAUAAUUUCAUAAUAUAAAGAAAAAAUAUCGAAACUAGAUUUACAGUAGAAUUGGGUAUUAAAAAUGAUUAUACUGCAAACCAACGACUCAAACUAGCAUUUAAGUUGUAGCAAAAGUGUGCUAGGUCAUCGCAAAUGGACGUCAUACUAAACUCCUAAACAUAAAAUUAAACCAAAGUUAAAUUAAUUUCAAGGCUAACAAAUGCUAUAAGCUCCUGACCCAGGAUAGGUGCAACAAUGCGGCGGGGUCAAAUGUGUAUAAUGUUGGAAACAGAUUCAUGGGGUCUGCAUCAAAACGGUUACAAAACAUGUCAAAUGCAUGUAGCGUACUAUUUGGACUAAGAAAACAGUAAUAAAUAAAGCAUCUAAAAGUAAGGAUAAAUUUACCUUACUCACCAAAAAAUGGAAUAUCAGUUAUGAUUGCAUUGAAAUAUCAAGAUACUCAAAAUCUUUUUAUGACAAAACAUAAUUAUGUUGUUUAAUCUAUUAUUACGGAUAAUCUUUUCUUUUAUUCUAGGUUUGCCUUCAUACGACGAUAUUAUUGACAACAGCUAUGUAAAAGAUACAAAACUAUAUCUAAAUGUGACACUAAUGAAUGUGCACCCUUUGCCAAAUUGUUCUUUGCAAUAUAAUGUAAGUAUUCCAUUCCAUAUACAAUUAACAGAUCUGGUACAAUAAUGUCUUGACACCACAAUUCAACAUACGCUAAAUGAAAGGGAAAUACGCAACUUUAGGUCAAUAUAUGAGUCUGCGAACGUCAUUCAACAAUGCAAAAUUAUCAGACCUGUUGUACGCCUUCAAAAAUCCCGAAAUAACAUAAUAUUUCAAACAAUAAAACCAAAAAUAUAAAAUAUAAUAAACCAAUAAGAAUAAAUAUAACUUAAUCGCACCUUCUUGACUUAGGAUAGACAUAGAUAGAAUGUUUUGAGUGCUCAACCCUUCUCUAUGUAUGGUGAAGCAGUACAAUAUAACCACAAACUACAGAAUCAAUCGGAAAGGAAUACACCUAUACCGGAUCGGCUUAAAAGCACAAAAUAGAACUAUCAAAUGGAAAGAAAAUGACAGACACAAUGCACCGAUCUAUGAACACAUGUUACUGCAGAUACAGAAAUCUACCUAAAAGCCAUUACCACUAUUAAAUAAAUCACUAAACCUAAAUUAAAACACUAUUUGUCAAUUCACCAAAUUGAAUUGUCAUUGUUUCCUUUUGUCAUAUAGGUUAUCAGAGGAAAUAAAAAUUUUAGUUAAUAAACAUGUCUUCUUUAUAUCUACCUUUAAUAGAAAUGUUUUUUUACAGGAUGAAACUAAGUUAUUGAAAACAAGUCAUUUUGAAAAAGGAGUUCACACAUAUGACAUAAUCAGAUAUAAUGAAACUAUAAGUUUGUUCAACUUAUGCAGUAUAACUUGGUUUGUCCACUGCAUGAUUGGAGAGAAGAGCUUUCAAACCAAUCACAAGACAGAUGAAUGUGGAACUAAUAGUGGUAAGAUCUGCUAUAUCAUUAUAAUAGUGAUAAUGUUAUUAAGAUUGCUAAUCAGAUCAUGUAAAUACUAUUGAUCAAUGAAGGAUAUCAAACAUUUAUAACUUAUCAUAGUACGGUGACCGAGUAAGGAAAAGUCGCUUAUUUAAGGAGUUUAAUUGUCAUUCGGACUAUACGGCUAUAAAUCACACUAUUGGUAGUUAAAAGGUUUAAACUUAACAUUUACUUGUCGUCAAAAAACGUACGGUGCAAUUUUUCGUGAAAUGGGCUUUGAAGUACGUUAGUUUACUUGAACGAAAAAUCGACUAAGAAAAGUUUUGAGGUCAACAUUGUAAAAUAACAUUCGUGAUAUUAUUUCUGUUAUUAUAUACAUUGUUGUUACACCUUAUUUAUGUUCUUUUAACGAUUUCAAAUAAAGUUUAGCAAAAUUAAUUCGUUAUUAAAGAGUUUUUGUAAAAGUUUAACACUGCAAUACUUUGCAGUUAUUAGAGUACGUUCCAAUUUAAUUUCAUAAUUUUUUAACGCAAAUUGUAAAAUAAUUCACAUUUAUAUGAUAUUUCAUAUAUGUACUUUAUUAAUCAAUAAUAUCAAAUUCAUUUGUCUCAGAAGCACUAUUUCAGCAAUUCAAGCCAGACAAAAUUCAUAACGCUCAUAUGACGGAGCUAUUCGAAGCUCAUAUACAGCCUCUUAUAGAUACAUAUACGCAAUUGGGAUGUGAUUAUUACUUACAUUUACAUACUGGGAUAUGUUCUUGAAGCAGUAGACAUUUAGCUGUCAAAUGUAACAGCAGAACGAGAGGGAAAUUGGUCACUUCCUUGAGAUCUUCAUCUCAAAUGUAACAUUAUAUUUAUGUAACCGACCGUACCGCACGAAGGCGGAUGCCAGUUUACAUACUCGAUAUGCUUCAAUUUUCUGAGAACAUUAAUUUCGAUCACAUUUUAUAGAUGGCUACUUUGCUUUUUAGACAGAUUCCUGGACAUUUUAACAGUACUAUGACAUGGUAACAGAAAAGACCAUUAUAAAAGCAUCAAGGGGAUAAGGUAGCACUGUAGGCAUAACAAAUCAAAAGUCUGCGCUUUUAAGAUGGACCCUUACUAGACAUUUCAUAGAAUCCAUUACUCGUGUAAUGCUGAAAAUGGAUGGAAUUGCUGCAAAUAAUGCAAAUUACACAAGAGAACAAAACCACAGCAAUGAAAGAGAUGAAGAACAUGAGAUUUUGCCAUUGUGAACCAUCUAAAUGAUCCAUGACUGAUCCCUUUGAUGUGGAAUCCCACCUUCAAUGUCUUAUCAAUAUCUCUUCUUAAAUGCAUGCUUCAAGACAUACUAACAGUUGUCGAGAGAGGCUUGAACAUGUCUAAACAUUUUGUCACUAGUGCUCUUUCUUAAGAUCACAAGGAGUUUUUAUAGUUCAAUAUCAAAGUCAAACACAAACCUUAAAUAUGAAUCGGGGGAAAUACUUUCAGGUCGCAUAAAUCCAUAACUUGUGAUUAGACGUGCACUGAUUUCGGUAAAAUGUAGAGUUGAUGUUAUCAUAGAUCAUGUGUUGACGCACCCAUUCCAUUAUCCCCUUUUCUAAAUGACGACACCAUGAGAAAAUCAUGCAAGUCGGAUUGGAAUCUUAAGUCUCUUGUGCACUUUCCCUACCUUCCUUUAUACCAUCACUCCCAACUUACAUAAGAGAUGGUAUGACAUUGGUUCAAUUAAUAAAAGCUAUAAGAAAGGUAAAACAUUCGGCGACCUUGCAGCUUAAUAUUAAAAUUAAAUAUGUCUCAAUGAAUUUCCAGAACGCACAUAGCAGCACAUGUUUUUGACCGCUACGACACGAACAACUCUAUAACGUCUGCCGAAAGGGAACGACGCACAGAGACUACAGCUUCCAUCAAAGUGUAUCAGAUUAUAGAGCGGAGAAGUAUUCCUGACUGGAAAACUUUGACAAAUCCCAUAAGAUUCCACCUGAUAUGAGCUUUACAUAGUCAGAACGUUUGUAAAUUCCGAAAUUGUCAAAGUUAUUCAAACCAACACUGUUCAUGGCUGUCGUAACUUGUUCAGCACUCAAGAUAAGGCCUCAAACUUUGACACGGAGUUUAGGGAAAUGUGAAAGAGCAGAAGAACAAUCAUACGGACCUCGAAUACAAUUGUAAUUGUUCUGUGUGUUCGCUACUAUAAAGAUAGGACACAUACAAGCGAGUUGUGGUUGCAGAUGUGGAACAUUAGCAGUGUAAAUGAUGGGCGGAGAUUUUCACCCAUUCAAAAACUAUGUGUCUGUCUUUCCCUAACAAUUUGUAAACUAUUGCCUGCUGCACAUGUACUUACCGGAUGCGACGCAACUUCGUCUCUGUUUGGAGUAGGUAUACAAACUGUCUACAAGAUUUCGAAGGACACACACGACUAUUUUAGUUGUUUUUAGAGUUUCGGUAAUAUUGACAAUGAUGAAGCCCUUGUUUUGGCAUGAAAGAUAAUUUCAAAGGUUUAUGAUCAGAACUAUCUCUUUAAAACCAUUACAUCAUAAUAAUUAUUCAAGUUUGCCACUAGUAAAGAUGUAAGUUUAGUCAGGUUACCUUCCUGCGAGACAGCACUGAAACAGUAUGUUUUACGUACUUCGUUUCAAACUAAAAAUUUGGACCGCAUUACACAUUGCUGAACCCCUAUCCGGUCACCUUUAGAAAACGGUUAGCUUAUUGAGGGUAAAAUGAUGCAUUACACCCCGUGUAUUUUAAGGGGCAUAUUUCAGCAGAAUUCUUGCAGGAUCUUGUGUCUUCAUUGAAAGGAAAAUCUGUAUGUGAAAGAGCGGCAUGUGUUUGUUCACUACAAAACCUUACGUAUCCGGGGCUUUGAUCCUGUAAAGGGUCAGAAUUAUGUAGAAAUUUCAAAUCAUGUUCCUUGAUAAUUAACCAGAAGAUAUAAAUCAUUUGUGUGGAUCUCUUUGAUUGGAAUAUUGAAUUGUAACUAUUUUCGAAGUAUUGAGUGCUUUUUAGUUUUAAUGAAUCUCAUGAAAAAUCUUAUGCAAAAAUAUGCCUUCAUGACAGUAGGAUGCAGGUAAAAAUAAUAUUUAUCAUGUAUUGAUGAGGUUGAAUGUCAGCCGGCAAGGUAACUACUGUAAUUUUAACAGAAUAUGUGUUGAUCAUGUGUAAUAGAGCUAAUAUUUGAAAAACUCCAAUUUCCAGAAUAAAUCGAUUUCUUAUUCAUUUUUAUAUUUAACAUUUUCGAGAUAAUUCAUUGAUAAUUGAUAUAAGAAAAUGUCUGUUUCUAGAAUAUAACCUAAAUUGUUGUAUAUUUCUUCAAAUUAUGAAAGUAUGGAAGAAAAAAAUAAAAACAGAAUUUGAUCUUUGACCUCAUUUUAUGCAAAACUGUUACCACAAUUCUUUUUGACGACAUCGAUAUUUUAAAAAUACUCAUUUUUCCGAAUCCAAUGAUAUAUGAUAUAGCCAUAUAGUAUGUUUGACGAUUAAAUCUAAAAAAUAUUGGGUCUGGUCACCGUACUAUCAUGUUCUAUAAUGAUUUUUGAAAGUACUGAACUGCCGGUAAAAAAAAAUCGUAACUAUCUCACACUUGUAUGAAAUUUCAAUCUUUGUUUUUAUGCGUACAAUUUAAAUCGACAGAGGGAGUAGUUAGCUCAAAAUAAUAAUUUACAUCUUUCGAAUAUGUUAGAGAAGUAAAAUUGAAAAUAUAAUUCUAAUUUAAAAAAUCUGUUUGUAAAACAUGUGUGCUUAAGUGUUUUUUUUUUCAUUUAUGUCAUUGUUUAAAAGAAAUUGCGUGGGUAAAAUAUCUGAUUUCAUAGUAGUAUUUACAUUUUAGUUUUAUGAUUAAGUUACAUCUGGCGUACUAAAUAAAAAUCCUGGUACCUUUGAUAACUGUUUACACCUGUAAACUAAUCUAUACCAUGUCAAUCGUUGUAAAUGACAUCAUAAAACAACCGAUUUUUUUUUUCUGUGACGUAAUAAAAUACGCAUUGUGACAUCGGAAAUAUACGUGAAAUUGUACGAAUGUGAAAGUCGUCUUUAAUUAAUUGAACAUUGCUGGACAUUAAUUGGUGUUUAAUGAUAGAAGAACAUAAAAACUAAGGCAACUUACAUCAGAAUGGGGAGCAAAGAAAAGUCGCUGUGGUUGUUAAUAUUAUUUUCAUUUUUUGCAGAUACGAUCAUUAGGAAUUUAGCUAUCGCUAUUUCCGCUUCUGUAUUUACAUGUAUAUUGGUAUUCGGGUUAUUUGUAUAUCUUCAAAGAUCAAACUGUUUAAGAUGUAAGUACUCUUAAUUCAGAAAUUAUUACAUCUUUGAAGAUGAUUGGUGUGCUUCAAGAAUCAACAUGUGUAUUAAGCAUCAACUUUAUAUUAAUAUACUUUAAUUAGACUUAUCAAAUAUACAUGUACCAGGGGUUCUAUCGUAUACGUCAGACGGGAUAUACUGUCUACAAAACAAUCACCAGUAACGCUCGAAUAAGCAAAAAGAUACAUGUUGCUGGUCAAAGAAAGCAAGAAAAAUAGAAGAGUAUUGAGGACAUAAAAUUCCAUAACAGUUUAUGGGUAUAUACUUAAUAUAUGUAUAACCGAAGCACAAAGUUUAAAUAAGUUCAACAGUUUGAAGUUUCAAUCUUUGUGUAUAUACUUGUAUUGUUAAAUUCUCUAAAUUACAUACAUUACAGUCACGUAAAUAUGUCGUUUAAGGUAAUGCUAACACAGAAGAAGAGAACAACAGUCAAGCGCAACUGCAACAAGGCAAGAGGAAGACAUACCUAUGUUCACAGCUCCCUUACUUUAGAUUCUUAAGCAUAAUUCUGUUUAUCAAAUCUGCAAGUUGGUGAGAAUUUCAAAACGUUACCACUUUUGAGUUGAAAUACGUUCAUGUGUUUUUUUUUCAAUACUUAUUGUUAGUUGAUGAAGGAAAUCAUAUUCAAAAUUGUAUUUAUAAUUUUGUUUUUAUAUAUGUAUAUAAAUAAUUGGCAUUUAAAUUUACUAGCUAAUGAAAGCAGUAAAUUACGUACUUACAGGUUAUUUAAAUCAAAUUAUUGUACAGAAAAAUAUUUAAGUAUUACUAUGCCUGGUAAAUAUAGAAGUGCAUAUGCUAAAUUUAGAGCAGGUGUUGCUCCGAUUAAAAUUGAAACUGGCAGAUAUGAAGGUAUAGAUGUAAAUGAAAGGUUUUGUUUUAAUUGUAGAAAAAAUGAUUUAAAUAUAAUUGAAAAUGAAAAACAUGUUUUAUGAGAAUGCCCAGAA
rnacentral:lncRNA from 1 species